rnacentral:rRNA from 1 species
GGCUACCGCUAUUGGAGUUCGAUUAAGCCAUGCGAGUCGCGAGUCUUAGGGACUCGGCGUACCGCUCAGUAACACGUGGGUAACCUGCCCUAUGCUGGGGGAUAACCUCGGGAAACUGAGAAUAAUACCCCAUAGUUCACCACGCCUGGAACGGUGGGUGGACCAAAGCCCCGGCGGCAUAGGAUGGGCCUGCGGCGUAUCAGGUUGUAGGGGGUGUAAUGUACCCUCUAGCCCUCUACGCGUACGGGUGUUGAGAGACAUCGCCCGGAGAUGGAUUCUGAGACACGAAUCCAGACCCUACGGGGUGCAGCAGGCGCGAAAACUUGGCAAUGCGAGAAAUCGUGACCAGGGAACUCCAAGUGCAUCGGGUAAGACCGAUGCUUUUCUUGACUCUUCAAAGGUCUUGGAAUAAGGGGUGGGUAAGGACGGUGCCAGCCGCCGCGGUAAUACCGGCGCCCCAAGUGGUAGUCGCUUUUAUUGGGCCUAAAACGUCCGUAGCCGGUCUGGUACAUUCGUGGGUAAAUCAACCAGCUCAACUGGUUGAAUUCUGCGAGCACGGCCAGACUUGGGACCGGGAGAGGUGUGGGGUACUCUCAGGGUAGGGGUAAAAUCCUGUCAUCCUGAGAGGACCACCUGUUGCGAAGGCGCCACACUAGAACGGAUCCGACGGUCAGGGACGAAGCCUAGGGGCACGAACCGGAUUAGAUACCCGGGUAGUCCUAGGUGUAAACGCUGUGGACUUGAUGUUGGGGGCGCUCCGAGCGCACUCAGUGUCGAAGCGAAGGUGAUAAGUCCACUGCCUGGGGAGUACGGUCGCAAGGCUGAAACUUAAAGGAAUUGGCGGGGGAGCACCGCAACCUGAGGAUUGUGCGGUUU